GUGAUAUUGUGGGUUCCUAGCAGUGCUACGUUAUGUGAUAUUGUGGGGUUCCUAGCAGUGCUACGUUAUGUGAGAUUGUGGGGUCCCUAGCAGUGCUACGUUAUGUGAUAUUGUGGGGUCCCUAGCAGAGCUACGUUAUGUGAUAUUGUGGGGUUCCUAGCAGUGCUACGUUAUGUGAUAUUGUGGGUUCCUAGCAGUGCUACGUUAUGUGAUAUUGUGGGUUUCUAGCAGUGCUACGUUAUGUGAUAUUGUGGGGUUCCUAGCAGUGCUACGUUAUGUGAUAUUGUGGGGUCCCUAGCAGUGCUACGUUAUGUGAUAUUGUGGGUUCCUAGCAGUGCUAUGUUAUGUGAUAUUGUGGGUUCCUAGCAGUGCUACGUUAUGUGAUAUUGUGGGUUCCUAGUAGUGCUACGUUAUGUGAUAUUGUGGGUUCCUAGCAGUGCUAUGUUAUGUGAUAUUGUGGGUUCCUAGCAGUGCUACGUUAUGUGAUAUUGUGGGUUCCUAGCAGUGCUACGUUAUGUGAUAUUGUGGGGUUCCUAGCAGUGCUACGUUAUGUGAUAUUGUGGGUUCCUAGCAGUGCUACGUUAUGUGAUAUUGUGGGGUUCCUAGCAGUGCUAUGUUAUGUGAUAUUGUGGGGUUCCUAGCAGUGCUACGUUAUGUGAGUUUGUGGGUUCCUAGCAGUGCUACGUUAUGUGAGUUUGUGGGGUUCCUAGCAGUGCUACGUUAUGUGAUAUUGUGGGGUUCCUAGCAGUGCUACGUUAUGUGAGUUUGUAG